UCAGCACUAUGACGUCAGGACACGGGCUAGUGGUGAUGGGCUAUCAGCACUGAUAUCAGGACAGGACACGGGUUAGUGGUGAUGGGCUGUCAGCACUAUGACGUCAGGACACGGGUUAGUGGUGAUGGGCUAUCAGCACUAUGACGUCAGGACACGGGCUAGUGGUGAUGGGCUAUCAGCACUGAUAUCAGGACAGGACACGGGUUAGUGGUGAUGGGCUGUCAGCACUAUGACGUCAGGACACGGGUUAGUGGUGAUGGGCUAUCAGCACUAUGACGUCAGGACACGGGCUAGUGGUGAUGGGCUAUCAGCACUG